GGUUUCAAGGUAAUUUGCAUAUAUUUUCUCACUUAGCAUAGCAACCUUAUCUUAAUUAUGUAUUUUCAUCUAAUUCUCCCAUUACAACAUGGGCUUCUGGAAGUCUGCCUCCAUCCUGCUGACUCAGAACACCGUGACUUGAUUCAGUCAGCACAUGGCUGCACAGGAACACUGCAGAACGAUUGUUGAUGGCAUGCAGUGUCCUUUCUCACCAACACAGGAGGUCGAAUCCAUUGCGACGGUGUGGUUCACGGGUGUGCCGCCCGGGCAGCACAGCUCAUGGGCUUGCACUCCACCUGAAUCCUGAGCCCUGACUUCCCUUCGGACACACAGCGACUUCUGGCUUGGUGUUUCCUGCAUUUGGGGUCUCACCAUAGAGCCCAGGCCGAACCUGAAGUCCUUAGAAUCCCAAAUGCUAACAGACAAACCACCACCCCUGGAAGAAAAUCCCCUUCUUUUUAUUCAGCAUUUUCGAGCUGAUAUUAUUUUCCUAGGUGGCUAGGAAACAGUAGAAUGCGUGCAGGAAACCGACUCUCUCUCCCCUGCUGCGUUCAUCCGUCAUCCUCAGCUCGCCUCACACUUCCGUCCUUGGUUUGAAGUUUGCGUGUUCAUUCCAAUUACUUUGUAUUAAUUUGUAUUAAUGUAAACAUGGUAUCUCCUUCCCCGUCACUUUACGCGUUAUCCGCGUGUGUCUUUAUAACUCCUAUCUGAAAGUGGAUUUCUUGUAGACAACAAAUAAUUGGCUCUUUAUGGUGGUUAUUCAUCCUGACAAUCUUUGUCAUUUACAUUUAGACGGUUCUUGCCUAU